GAUGAACGCUGGCGGCGUGCCUAAUACAUGCAAGUCGAGCGAACGGACGAGGAGCUUGCGGCGCUGAUGUUAGCGGCGGACGGGUGUGUAACACGUGUAUAACCUACCUAUAUGACGGGUAUAACUUCGGGAAACCGGAGCUAAUACCGGAGGAUAUUUUGAACCGUAGGGGUCAAAAGUGAAAUACGGUCGUGCGGUCAGUUCUAGAUGGAUCUGCGCUGCAUUGGCUAGUAGGUAAGCUAACGGCUUAUCAAGGCAACGAUGCAUAGCCGACGUGAGAGAGUGAUAGCCCACACGGGAGCUGAGCCACCGUCCCUACUCCUACGGGAGGCAGCAGUCGGGAACCUUCCGCAGUGGGCGAAAACAUGACGGAGCGGGGCCGCGUGAGUGACGACGGUCUUCGGAUCGUAAAACUCUGUUACUAGUGGAAAACAUAUGUGUACGUAAAUGUGCACAUAUUGACGGUAACUAAUCAGAAAGCACCGGCUAACUACGUG
rnacentral:rRNA from 1 species